rnacentral:rRNA from 1 species
GAUGAACGCUGGCGGCGUGCCUAAUACAUGCAAGUCGAGCGAACAGACGAGGAGCUUGCUCCUCUGACGUUAGCGGCGGACGGGUGAGUAACACGUGGAUAACCUACCUAUAAGACUGGGAUAACUUCGGGAAACCGGAGCUAAUACCGGAUAAUAUAUUGAACCGCAUGGUUCAAUAGUGAAAGACGGUUUUGCUGUCACUUAUAGAUGGAUCCCCGCCGCAUUAGCUAGUUGGUAAGGUAACGGCUUCCCAAGGCAACGAUGCGUAGCCGACCGGAGAGGGUGAUCGGCCACACUGGACCUGAGACACGCUCCAGACUCCUACGGGAGGCAGCAGUAGGGAAUCUUCCGCAAUGGGCGAAAGCCUGACGGAGCAACGCCGCGUGAGGGAUGAAGGUCUUCGGAUCGUAAACCUCUGUUAUUAGGGAAGAACAAAUGUGUAAGUAACUAUGCACGUCUUGACGGUACCUACUCAGAAAGCCACGGCUAACUACGUG